UACGGAGGAUCCAAGCGUUAUCCGGAAUCAUUGGGUUUAAAGGGUCCGUAGGCGGUUUGGUAAGUCAGUGGUGAAAGCCCAUCGCUCAACGGUGGAACGGCCAUUGAUACUGCCAGACUUGAAUUAUUAGGAAGUAACUAGAAUAUGUAGUGUAGCGGUGAAAUGCUUAGAGAUUACAUGGAAUACCAAUUGCGAAGGCAGGUUACUACUAAUGGAUUGACGCUGAUUGACGAAAGCGUGGGUAGCGAACAGG
rnacentral:rRNA from 1 species